rnacentral:rRNA from 1 species
GACGAACGCUGGCGGCGUGCUUAACACAUGCAAGUCGAACGAUGAAGCCGGAGCUUGCUCUGGUGAAUUAGUGGCGAACGGGUGAGUAACACGUGAGUAACCUGCCCUUGGCUCUGGGAUAACUGCGGGAAACUGUAGCUAAUACCGGAUACGACCCUCGGAGGCAUCUCCUGGGGGUGGAAAGAAUUUCGGUCAAGGAUGGACUCGCGGCCUAUCAGCUAGUUGGUGAGGUAAAGGCUCACCAAGGCGACGACGGGUAGCCGGCCUGAGAGGGUGACCGGCCACACGGGGACUGAGACACGGCCAGACUCCUACGGGAGGCAGCAGUGGGGAAUAUUGCACAAUGGGCGCAAGCCUGAUGCAGCAACGCCGCGUGAGGGAUGACGGCCUUCGGGUUGUAAACCUCUUUCAGCACAGACGAAGCGCAAGUGACGGUAUGUGCAGAAGAAGGACCGGCCAACUACGUGCCAGCCGCCGCGGUAA